AUACCACAGUGUACUUGUACAAAUUAUGUUUUCAACAGCAUUAAAUAGCAAUAGUUAUUUCCCUAUUUGCUUUAUUUUAAAUAGCACUUUUUUUACGUUAACUCCUUU